rnacentral:rRNA from 1 species
AGAGUUUGAUCCUGGCUCAGGGUGAACGCUGGCGGCGUGCUUGACACAUGCAAGUCGAACGGUAUGUGGCAACACAUAGAGUGGCGAACGGGUGAGUAACACGUGGGAACGUACCCUACGCAGGGGGAUAACUGACCGAAAGGACAGCUAAUACCGCAUAAGACCGAAAGGUGAAAGGUGCAACUGCACCGGCGAAGGAGCGGCCCGCGGACCAUCAGCUAGUUGGUGGGGUAAGAGCCUACCAAGGCAACGACGGAUAGCCGGCGUGAGAGCGUGGCCGGCCACAAGGACACUGAGAUACGGGUCCUACUCCUACGGGAGGCAGCAGUGCGGAAUUUUAGAUAAUGGAGGGAACUCUGAUCUAGCGACGCCGCGUGCAGGAAGAAGGUCUUCGGAUUGUAAACUGCUGUGGUAAGGGAAAAAUGCCAUGUAGAGUGGAAAGCUACAUGGAGGGAUGGUACUUUACUAGAAAGCCCCGGCUAACUACGUGCCAGCAGCCGCGGUAA